rnacentral:lncRNA from 1 species
UUUUUAACACAUAGACACAAUUAACGGGAAAGGGAAAGCGAAGAGCAAGGCUGGCAACUGCCACCGGAAGGGGCACAACCCCUGCCUACUCUUCAGAAAGGAGGAGACAGAAACAUAAAUAUGGAAGAUUGGAAGGAGGGGAAGAAAGAGAAAAGAAAGAGCGAGAUACCAAAUCUGAAAGAAUAAAGUAGAACACGCAGUACAGGUC